rnacentral:rRNA from 1 species
UUCGACUGUUUACCAAAAACAUAGCCCUAGAAUUUAUCUAAGGUGAAACCUGCCCAAUGAUUUUAAAUUAAAAAUGUAAAAAAAUAUUUAAUAAAAUUUAAAGGACGCGGUAACCUUGACCGUGAUAAUGUAGCAUAAUCACUCGCCAUUUAAUUGAUGGAUAGUAUGAAUGGUUAAACGAAUAUUCCACUGUCUUAAAUAGAAAUAAACAAAAAUUAAAGUAAUAGUAAAGAUGCUAUUUAAAAUUGUAAGACGAAAAGACCCUAUAGAGCUUAACUACAAUCUUUUUUUUUACACAAUAAAAAGACUGAUAGUUUAGUUGGGGCGACUGUCUUUUAAAUAAAACAAAGACAAGCAAAAUUAAUAUAAUAAAUUUACUGUAUAAUUAAUAGAUUUAACAGUUACAAAAGUAGGCUAUAAGACUCUUUACCAAAAACAUAAUAAAUAUAACUAUUAAUAAAUAAAAGCUACCUUAGGGAUAACAGGAUAAUUUCACUUUAGAGACCUAAUCAAAAGUGAAGUUUGUCACCUCUAUGUUGAAUUAAGAUAUCCUAACAAUGCAGAA